AACAUUUCAUCUCUCCUGUUAAGAACCUGUGGCCAUCGUCUCUGCAGCUUUACAUAACAACGAGUGCCCGUUAUGGUGCGACAGAUUACAAGCACUGGGAACUGGGAUCAAAGACUCACAGCUGAGUUUAGAAGCACAUCUGAAUUGUGCUUAUAAAUAAUGGCUACCUGUGUAAAAGGAAAAUGGGACUGUUGAAAUAAUGAUUGAGUAAAAAG